AUUGAACGCUGGCGGCAGGCCUAACACAUGCAAGUCGAGCGGAUGAAGGGAGCUUGCUCCUGGAUUCAGCGGCGGACGGGUGAGUAAUGCCUAGGAAUCUGCCUGGUAGUGGGGGAUAACGUCCGGAAACGGGCGCUAAUACCGCAUACGUCCUGAGGGAGAAAGUGGGGGAUCUUCGGACCUCACGCUAUCAGAUGAGCCUAGGUCGGAUUAGCUAGUUGGUGGGGUAAGGGCCUACCAAGGCGACGAUCCGUAACUGGUCUGAGAGGAUGAUCAGUCACACUGGAACUGAGACACGGUCCAGACUCCUACGGGAGGCAGCAGUGGGGAAUAUUGGACAAUGGGCGAAAGCCUGAUCCAGCCAUGCCGCGUGUGUGAAGAAGGCCUUCGGAUUGUAAAGCACUUUAAGUUGGGAGGAAGGGCAGUAAGUUAAUACCUUGCUGUUUUGACGUUACCAACAGAAUAAGCACCGGCUAACUUCGUG
rnacentral:rRNA from 1 species